AUGCUAAUGUGAUGAGAACAUAGUUCAAAUGACGAAUCUAUGAUUGAGAACUUAAAAUGUCUUUCGCUCCUAUCUGAAUUAGUUU
rnacentral:snoRNA from 1 species